rnacentral:lncRNA from 1 species
CAGUGGUGUGAGUGGUCCUUUGACCUGUGGUGCCAUUGGCUAUUUGCAGCAAGGCUAUUGGGUUUGACUACACAUUUUCUUGAUCCCUAGCCAUUCGGAUCCUUGCUAUGUAUGUUGAUUUCAGUAGGUUCAGAUUCACUAUUUGGAGUAGAAUGUACCUAGAUAGAAUCUAUCGAUCUUGGUAGAAAAAGAGAAGUCCUAUGCGAUAUGUAAGACUGAGUUCGGAAAGUUUUUGGCCAAAGUAAAUGUGAAUACUGAAAAAGAAUUUUCACGAGAUUCAUAAAAAAACUCGAGUCGAGCCAAUCUAGCAUAUGACUGAUGAUGGGGUUUGACGAGUUCUACAUGACCUCUGUCAAGUCAGGAC